UUUGUGUAGGCAAAUCCGCACGACUAGUCGAACCUGAUAGUACAGCAAAGCUUCGGCAGCGCUGAUAGUGAUCCUAAUCAGACCUCCGAGAAAAACCUUUAAGUUAUGGUAUAGACAGCCCGUACCGCAAACCGACACAGGUGGGUGGGAUGAAUAUUCUAAGGCGCUCGGGUGAGCCGUGGAGAAGGAACUAGGCAAAUUGACGCUGUAACUUCGGGAUAAAGCGUACCAUCUUCGGAUGGUCUCAGUAAAAUGGUACAACCAACUGUUUAGCAAAAACACAGGGCCCUGCAAAAUCGAAAGAUGACGUAUAGAGCCUGAUACCUGCCCGGUGCUGGAAGGUUAAGGAAGGAUGUUCGACGCAAGUCAAAGCUUCUGACUGAAGCCCCAGUAAACGGCGGCCGUAACAAUAACGGUCCUAAGGUAGCGAAAUUCCUUGUCGGGUAAGUUCCGACCUGCACGAAUGGUCUAAUGAGUUGUACACUGUCUCCUCCACGAGCCCGGUGAAAUUGUAGUAUCGGUGAAGAUGCCGGUUACCCGUCACGGGACGGAAAGACCCCAUGAACCUUCACUACAACUUUGCAUUGAUUUUGAAUUUUUGAUGUGUAGGAUAGUUGGGAGACUUUGAAGGAGUGUCGCUAGGCAUUCUGGAGUCGUCGUUGAAAUACCAACCUUUAAACAUUUAGAAUCUAAUCCCUAACGGGAAACAGUGCAUGGUGGGUAGUUUGACUGGGGUGGUCGCCUCCUAAAAUGUAACGGAGGCUUGCAAAGGUUCCCUCAGUACGGUUGGUAAUCGUACAUAGAGCGUAUUAGUAUAAGGGAGCUUGACUGUGAGGCUUACAAGCCGAUCAGGGACGAAAGUCGGCUAAAGUGAUCCGGCGGUUCUGUAUGGAAGGGCCGUCGCUCAAAGGAUAAAAGGUACUCUGGGAUAACAGGCUGAUCUUACCCAAGAGCUCAUAUCGACGGUAAGGUUUGGCACCUCGAUGUCGGUUCGUCACAUCCUGGGGCUGGAGAAGGUCCCAAGGGUUCGGCUGUUCGCCGAUUAAAGUGGCACGUGAACUGGGUUCAGAACGUCGCAAGACAGUUCGGUCCCUAUCUGUGAUGGGCGCUAGUAAAUUGAGAAGACAUGACCUUAGUACGAGAGGACCGGGUCGUAUGUUCCGCUGGUGUAUCUGUUGUGCCGCCAGGUGCAAUGCAGAGUAGCUAUGAACAGCAAGGAUAAACGCUGAAAGCAUCUAAGCGUGAAACCUUCUUCAAGAUGAGUUUACUUUUAAGGGCCGUGGAAGACUACCACGUUGAUAGGCUAUAGGUAUAAGGGUGGUAACAUCGAAGCCGAGUAGUACUAAUUACCCGUAAGCUUUAUCAA
rnacentral:rRNA from 1 species